AACGAACGCUGGCGGCAGGCCUAACACAUGCAAGUCGAGCGAGCAUUUCGGUGCUAGCGGCGGACGGGUGAGUAACGCGUGGGAACGUGCCCUUUUCUGCGGAAUAGUCCUGGGAAACUGGGGGUAAUACCGCAUACGCCCUUUUGGGGAAAGAUUGAUCGGAGAAGGAUCGGCCCGCGUUGGAUUAGGUAGUUGGUGGGGUAAUGGCCCACCAAGCCGACGAUCCAUAGCUGGUUUGAGAGGAUGAUCAGCCACACUGGGACUGAGACACGGCCCAGACUCCUACGGGAGGCAGCAGUGGGGAAUCUUAGACAAUGGGGGCAACCCUGAUCUAGCCAUGCCGCGUGAGUGAUGAAGGCCUUAGGGUUGUAAAGCUCUUUAAGCUGGGAAGAUAAUGACGGUACCAGCAGAAGAAGCCCCGGCUAACUCCGUG
rnacentral:rRNA from 1 species